AGUGAACGCUGGCGGUAGGCCUAACACAUGCAAGUCGAACGGCAGCACAGUAAGAGCUUGCUCUUACGGGUGGCGAGUGGCGGACGGGUGAGGAAUACAUCGGAAUCUACUUUUUCGUGGGGGAUAACGUAGGGAAACUUACGCUCAUACCGCAUCCGACCUACGGGUGAAAGCAGGGGAUCUUCGGACCUUGCGCGAUUGAAUGAGCCGAUGUCGGAUUAGCUAGUUGGCGGGGUAAAGGCCCACGCAGGCGACGAUCCGUAGCUGGUCUGAGAGGAUGGUCGGCGGCACUGGAACUGGAACACGGUCCAGAGGCCUACGGGAGGCAGCAGUGGGGAAUAUUGGACAAUGGGCGCAAGCCUGAUCCAGCCAUACCGCGUGGGUGAAGAAGGCCUUCGGGUUGUAAAGCCCUUUUGUUGGGAAAGAAAAGCAGCAGGUUAAUACCCCGCUGUUCUGACGGUACCCAAAGAAUAAGCACCGGCUAACUUCGUG
rnacentral:rRNA from 1 species